rnacentral:tRNA from 1 species
GCCCGGAUGGUGAAAUGGUAGACACGAGAGACUUAAAAUCUCUUGGCCGCAAGGCCAUGCCGGUUCAAGUCCGGCUCCGGGCA